rnacentral:misc_RNA from 1 species
CGAGUUCAAAUUUAAAAUGGGGCAUUUCUGCAGUGAGAGAUGGAAGUUAUGCAUUGAAUUUAAUAAAGCAUAAUUAAUUUGGAUAAUAAUGAUUACGAUGACAAGUGAAUCUAUCUAAGCCACCAAGUAUCACGAUCAUCAGACGCCAUGAAAGAAGAAAACUUGAACACCAAAACUUGAACUCCAAGCUCAGAGAUUGCCCUACGUGGAGCAAGCGAGCCCCUGCAGAGAGGGCAAGUCAUGUGACCAUGAGCUAUCCAUCUAUCCAAGCAAACUUUAUGAAAGAUAUGGCUACAUCUUCUUGAUUCUCUAAUCUCUUCUCCAUGUUCAAUCUUGCUUAGACAAACUGCACAUUCUAUGGCUUCACUACUUGGGUCGCACUUAUAGUAGCACUGCCUUGUGCUUAGCUCUUCAUCACCAAAAUCUUUUGGCUUGGAAAGGUGAUGGUCUUGGAAGAGAGGAUUCGGAAUCAAUAAAUUCAAUGCCCAUUUGAAGUGGGUAGAGAUCAAACUCAAGUAUUUGAACAUGGGCUUGAUUGAAAGUUGCAGAAGAAAGAACACAGUGGGAGUGGGUGCCAAAUUGUUU